GACGAACGCUGGCGGCGUGCCUAAUACAUGCAAGUCGAACGCAGUGGGGACGGGUGAGUAACACGUGGGUAACCUCCCAUCAGAGGGGAUAACACUUGGAAACAGGUGCUAAACCGAUACUGAUGGAUGAACCCGCGGUGCAUUAGCUAGUUGGUGAGGUAACGGCUCACCAAGGCCACGAUGCAUAGCCGAACUGAUAGGGUGAGUGGCCCAACGGCAACUUAAGAACGGCCUAGGCGCCUACGGGAGGCAGCAGUGGGGAAAUGUCGGAAAUGGACGAAGGUCUGACCGAGCAACGCCGCGUGAGUAAAGAGGGUUUUCGGAUGGGAAAACACUUUUGUUAGAGAAUCGGUAUCUAACCAGAAGGCCACGGCUAACUACGUGCCAGCAGCCGCGGUAAUAC
rnacentral:rRNA from 1 species